rnacentral:tRNA from 1 species
GCCCUUAUAGCUCAGUGGUAGAGCGCAGCACUUGUAAUUCUUCUUCUGAAGAUCUUCUGCAAGUCCAUGCUGAGGUCCAUCGUUCAAUCCGGUGUGGGGGCA